GCGUGACUCGCUCAAUCAGGAAGAAGCAGCAGGCUCAAACCCUGCAAAGUCUGGGUUCGACCCCCAGGUCACGUACC
rnacentral:tRNA from 1 species